GGGCGUGUGGCUCAGUUGGUAGAGCGCCCGCUUAGCAUAUAACAAACUUGUUAAUCGCAUUGCGGAAGGUCCCCGGUUCGAUUCCGGGCUCGUCCA